rnacentral:rRNA from 1 species
UACGUAGGUGGCAAGCGUUGUCCGGAUUUACUGGGCGUAAAGAGCGCGCAGGCGGUCGAUUUAGUCGCGUGUGAAAGCCCCCGGCUCAACUGGGGAGGGUCACGCGAUACUGAUCGACUCGAAGGCAGGAGAGGGUAGUGGAAUUCCCGGUGUAGUGGUGAAAUGCGUAGAGAUCGGGAGGAACAUCUGUGGCGAAGGCGGCCAUCUGGACCAGCACUGACACUGAGGCACGAAAGCGUGGGGAGCAAACAGG